UUUGUCCCAGACACCUGGGCUGAGGCAACUUCCCCAGGUUCCCUGAAUAACAGAUUGCUAGCACCAGAAGGACUUUAAGAAAUAAAUAUGCUUCACCUGGCAUUUUAUAGCUGAGAUGGAGCAAGUGAUUUCUCAGGAAUCACACAGCUAAUGAGCUGAAGAAGUAGGAAUACUGGGGCACGUCUCUGGAUGUCUAGGUCUUUUCAAAUCCCCAUUCUUGCCUCCCUUUCCAGGAGAGCAAAAAGAAUAGCUUUUAGACCUCCUGGGUUAUACAAUGGCAAGACAACACUUUGAGGCUUCUUUCACUUGCCAGAUGAAUAAACUUAUGUGGAUGUGUCUGAGAAGUCACUGGGGGCUAUAGUUAGGGGUUAUUAGCAUCCCCAGACACUCGGACAUAGGGAAUGCAGGAUGUAGACAUUGGGAUGCAGAAGUGGAUACUGGGGAUCCUACCAUUUCCCCACAGUCAAGCUUUAAAUGGUUAAAUCAGCAAUGUUCUAGUUGUCCUCAACUUUUGACCAACAGUGGGGGGAAAAAAAGAAAAAUAAAUAAAAACCAGGGGUCCUGAGACUUUUUUCAAGAGAUUUAGAGAUUUUGACUUAGGGAUUUUUAUACUACCAACUGUUUAAGAAAUUGGAUUAUCUCUUUUCUUUAAUAUUCACUGCCCUAUCUGCCUCCAACACUCCCUUCAACAACUCAUGAAUGAGGUGUUUUCAAUGAUCUUUGUGUAGGCUGAGAUCUUUGUACAGGCUUGGAAUUCAGAGAAAGGAUUCCGGGCCUGGUGUCACUUGGUGUGGCUGCAAUAAAGAGAUGAAAUUAGCAUCAGGCUAUUUUUCACUUGCUCUCUUGGUGACCUUCUUAGGGCUACCUGGGAUAUCUUGUCUCUGUCUGUAAACUCCUAAGGCAAGGACAGUGGGCGGCCCAGAACAGCGUCAGCAAAUAGUUAAUUACUAUGUGCUUUUGAUGAUGAUGAUGAUGAAGAUAAUAUUAGGAACUUUGGGGAUUUAGAAAAUAUUCAAUUGGAGGACUGUCCUUGAAGAUCCUCCCCAGCUAGCUUCUCCAGCACCCUGAGUUCCUUUAGAGGAGCAGAGUGAAGGUGUUUAAAGCCUGCCUUCAGGCUGAGUCUAGAGGAUGCUCUUCGGUGGAAGGGGGUCGUUACAUUCCUGCCUGCUGAGUUCACGCCUGAGUUUAUCUUCGGCCUCUUCAUGAUCUCUAUAUUUUAAAAAAAUAAUUCAUUAAUUAAUAAACUUAUUACCCAGACUUUUUUAUACUCGUACAAACAUGUCUAGUUUCUUGUUUUAAUUUGAACAAAGGUUUAAGUUGAACAUGCUGCAUUAUGUGUUCUGCAAUUUGCUUCUUCCUCCUAACAAUAAAUCCUGGAUAUCUUUCUCUGCCAAGAUACCUAGAUCUGCCUCAUUUGGGCGAGUCUUUGUCCUCGUACCUGUGUGAUUCUCCGAGCGUCAUUUUUUGGCCUGCCUCUCUUUCUCGGGGUGUGAGAUUGCCUGACCUCUUGCGGUACGCUGCAGUGGGAGGUCCUAGAGGAGGCCUGGGGGGUGGGCGGGGCCCGAGGCACGCAUGGGAUAUGCAGAUGAGGUAGGCGGGGCCCCCACAUAUACCCACGGUUAGCUGCUGGCGUGUGAGCCGGGUCUCGGCAGAUUCAGUCAGAGGCAACCUACGGACCGUGCUUCACCGAGCACAGCGGAGCCUGGUACCCGGCUGUCCCGGGAGCGGGCCAUGCCCCCGCGGGAGCUAAGCGAGGCCGAGUCGUCCCCGCUCCGGGCCCCGACCCCUCCGUCGCGGCGGGGCAGCGCGUCCCCAGAGCUGGGCAUCAAGUGCGUGCUUGUGGGCGACGGCGCCGUGGGCAAGAGCAGCCUCAUCGUCAGCUAUACCUGCAAUGGGUACCCCGCGCGCUACCGGCCCACAGCGCUGGACACCUUCUCCGUGCAAGUCCUGGUUGACGGAGCCCCGGUGCGCAUUGAGCUCUGGGACACAGCGGGACAGGAAGACUUUGAUCGCCUUCGCUCCCUCUGCUACCCGGAUACGGAUGUCUUCCUGGUCUGCUUCAGCGUGGUGCAGCCCAGCUCCUUCCAAAACAUCACAGAGAAAUGGCUGCCAGAGAUCCGCACUCACAACCCCCAGGCGCCCGUGCUGCUGGUGGGCACGCAGGCCGACCUGAGGGACGAUGUCAAUGUACUGAUUCAGCUGGACCAGGGAGGCCGGAAAGGCCCCGUGCCUCAACCCCAGGCUCAGGGUCUGGCCGAGAAGAUCCGGGCCUGCUGCUACCUGGAAUGCUCUGCCUUGACGCAGAAGAACUUGAAGGAGGUGUUUGACUUGGCCAUUCUCAGUGCCAUUGAGCACAAAGCCCGGCUGGAGAAGAAACUGAACGCCAAAGGUGUGCGCACCCUCUCCCGCUGCCGCUGGAAGAAGUUCUUCUGCUUUGUUUGAAGAGCUGUGGCAGCAAAAUGAUCAGUAGGCCAAUGGCCACAGACUUCUAGAACCUGGAGCACGGAGCCUUUGAGGGACCUGCUGGCAGGGCCACGUCACCCCCGUGGGACUCAGUUCCCAUCUGAACACUGUGGCAACACAGCCUCCAACUGCCCACUCUUAUGUGCCAGGAGCACAGGCUCCAGACGGGCAGGCUCAGCGGCCAUGGCUCACGGGCCCAGCCGCUCCGUGGCAUGUGGGAUCCUCCCGGACCGGGGCACGAACCCAUAUCCCCUGCAUGGGCAGGCGGACUCUCAGCCACUUGCGCCACCAGAGAAGCCCAACCACCUGUAAUUUUAUCAACGACAAGAGAACACUGUGGACAUUUGGUAUUUGCAUUCCUUCCGCCUGCACUCCAGAGUGUAAGCUGCAGAAGAACAGGCACUGCGUCUCAGCUUUUAUUGCUCCACACCUGACACCUGCCUGGGACUGUGUACUCUGGACCCAACCCUUGCAGCAAAGACAGCGCCCGGCAGUGGCAUUGGGAUACAGAAUUGACCUCAGCCCGGAAGUGCUCAUAGAGAACCAAGGGAUAAUGAAGGUUGUUCCCAGUGCUGGGGAGACCAGAAGAGGAAUAGAGCCCAUUUCGAGCUUUGAAGGAUGGAUGAGUGGCUGGCAAGAUCUGUUCUGUGGUGUCGUAGUACCAGCGGGGGAAGGAACCACGGCAGCGGCCCACCUUGCUGGAUGCAAGGCAGUAUUCUGGGGGAAGGAAAGCUGGUGAGGGAGCUCCGAGAGCCAAUCAGCAGAGCCGGAGCAGGGUGCAGGGUGUGGGUGAGUCCUGGGUCUGCCUCCCCACCCCCUUCCUCACCUUCUGUCUGCUUGGAGGACAGCACAGUGACUGUGAUGUUGGACGUGCUCUCUCGCUGGUCUGAACCAGCCACCGUCAGCUGGAACAGGUAGCUGCCUUCCUUGAGUCCCCACAGCUCCACCUGGUCUGGAUCAUUCCUCUAAACACAGGAGUGGCCAUCAGGCUGGGACCGCUUGAUGCCCCUGGUUGGCCCCAGGUCCUCCCAGUCAGCCCCCCUACCCCACUGCGGGGAGCCGAGGGACUUGGUAUUAAAUGGAUCCUCAGCUUCUAUCCACCCCACCCCGUUUGGAGCCGCAGUUUGGCCUACAGCCCCAGAAAGGGGGCCCUGGAGAGCUGAGGUGGGGGUCAGGGAGCCAGCCCAGCAUCGCACCUCUACCCUGACGUCUGUGUCACCCUGCAGUAGGCGCCAGUCUGUGUUCUCCACACCCUUCAGCACCAGGGGUUCCUGUGGCUGUACCUUCAAGUCUGUGCCUUCCCAGGCCUUGGGGAUCCGGGACCCUGGGAGGAAGCCCACAUCACUGCUAAGAAGCCCAUCCGGACAGAGACCUUGAGCAGAGCCCUGGGCAGCACCACGUCAAGCCUUGGUGUCCCAUGAUGAUUGGCACAGGAGCAGGAUGCCUCUGCCACCUCAGACAGACUCUGCCUCCAGUUACAAGGGGGCACAAGGCAACCAUACCCUCCCCCAACCAGGGUCUUCAGAGCGGGUGUGGCCCUGCUGACACCUUGAGUUUGGACUUCUGGCCUCCAGAACUGUGAGACAGUACAUUUCUAGUGUCUUCAGUCACCCAGGGUGUAUAACAUGGCACAGCAGCCUUAGGAAAUGGACACACUGCCCUUGAGGGUACUACGGUCCAGUUAGGCAGGUAAGACCCAACAACAGGAAGCAAAAUGGGAGAAAGACCCAACAAGAUGAAGGGCUGUGUGAUACAUGUACAAGAAAAGGAGGUGGAUGUUUAGAGAAGGGAAAGCCCACAGCAAGCUAGAGGAAAAAGGCAAGGCUUUGUGAAGAAGGGAGAAAGGAUUUUUGGAUCCUUUUGUUUUUAUUUGUUUGGUUGUGGGGAAGAAUGUUGGUGUUGUUGAUGACAGCAGAAAACAUGAUGAGCCAAAGCAAGGAGUCGGGAAUUUGUAAGACUGGUUAGGUGGACAUUGAGGAGACCAGCUGGGCUGGAUAGAUCCUGCCACAACUGCAUUCUCGUCCCUCUUUCCAGAUGAGCAAAUUGACACCAGAGAGGUUAAAUGACUUGCCCAGGGUCGCUCAGUUUCAAAACGGCAGAGCUGGGGUUUGAACCCUGGUCUGAUUCAUGCUCUCUCCAAAACAUCAAAACACCAUGCUGCAGGCCAUAUGUGCUUAGAAGUGUGAUUCUUUAAAUAAUCUUUAUAGUCUUUGGGUUUUGUUUUUGUUUUUAGCUUAGGUAAUACAUGUACAUGAUGAAAUAUGCAAAAAAUACAAAAGGGUAGUGAGAAUUAAGUCCCUGAUUCUUAAACCCCCAGGUUCCUCUCUCCAGAGGCAUUCUCAAUUACUAGUUUGGGUGUGUGUGUAUGUGUGAGUAUCAAGAGAGAGUGUAUAGAAUAUUCACAAGCAUGCUAGUUCUUCAUCUUGCUUUUCCCUUAAUAUAUACUGGAAAUCAGUCAUAGCAAUAUAUAAAGAACUUCUUCUUCCUUUUUUUUGUUGUUGCAUAGUACUUAUUGUAUGAAUGCACCAAAAUUUACAACACAUUAACCAGUCCAUCAGUCUAGUCUCUCUUGAUGUAGGUCCUUCUUUCCUCCCUCCCUCCCUCCCUACUAAGAACUAACCCUUGCUACCUCAGGGUUUAUUAUUAUGAUUAAAACAGCACCACAGUAUCCAAUUAUAGGAUGUGUUGACAGACACUGAGCUUGUUUCCAAUUCUUUGCUCUUAUAAACAAUGGUACAGUGACUGAUUGCCUGGUAAGUUGUUUUACACAAGUUUAAGCAUAGCUGCAAGAUGAGUUCCUGCAAGUGGAGUCAUGUUGAGGGUUAUAUGCAUUUACAUUUUGGGUGGGUAUUGCCCAACUGCCCUCCACAGAGGCUCUGCAGAGGGUUACAUCAAGUUUAAGAGUUCAAAGAAGAGAAGGUAGAGAUAAG